UACAGAGACUGCAAGCGUUAUUCGGAUUCACUGGGCGUAAAGGGUGCGCAGGCGGCCAAGUGUGUGAGGCGUGAAAGCCUGGGGCUUAACUCCAGAAUUGCACCUCAAACUACAUGGCUAGAGCAUUGGAGAGGGUAGCAGAAUUCGCGGUGUAGCAGUGAAAUGCGUAGAUAUCGUGAGGAAUACCAGAGGCGAAGGCGGCUACCUGGACAAUUGCUGACGCUCAGGCACGAAAGCGUGGGGAGCAAAAGGG
rnacentral:rRNA from 1 species